GCACCCGUAGCUCAGCCGGAUAGAGCGCUGCCCUCCGAAGGCAGAGGUCACAGGUUCGAAUCCUGUCGGGUGCGCCA
rnacentral:tRNA from 2 species